UUGGUUUGAGAUGAGUGGACCCG
rnacentral:miRNA from 1 species